AGUCUCAGUUCGGAUUGGAGUCUGCAACCCGACUCCAUGAAGCUGGAUUCGCUAGUAAUCGCGCAUCAGCCACGGCGCGGUGAAUACGUUCCCGGGCCUUGUACACACCGCCCGUCAAGCCAUGGGAGCCGGGGGUACCUGAAGUGCGUGACCGCAAGGAGCGCCCUAAGGUAAAACCGGUGACUGGGGCUAAGUCGUAACAAGGUAAC
rnacentral:rRNA from 1 species